rnacentral:lncRNA from 1 species
UUCUAUAGCUAUUUCCAUAUUUUUUAAGUAAUGAGCCUAUCCUCUAUCUUCUUUUUUAUGUUUAUAUUUCAAUAUACCGAAACCUAUAUAGGACUAGAUAAAUAUUAAGAGGACUCUUCCGCCUAGAUAAAAAUAUAUCAUGGUCAGCAAAGUUGUUUCUUUAUUUUUAUUUGCCCUCUAGUUAAUAAUUUCAAUUUCAUUAAGAAAAACUAACUAAAUAAAUGGAAAAUGAAAAUUAAUAGAAUUCUUUUUUUUUCUUCAAAUCCAAAAAAUUUCUCUUUUUUAUACAUAGGUCGUCGAUUCAACAUUGGUUAAAAAAGGGCAGGGUGCCCCUUUUUCUAGUAAAUAGUUCAAACCAUUUUAUCGAUAUGAGUGUUCUAUAUCAGAUAAAUUUUACAUUAGCUAUUUCCCGUUUAAAUUCGGUACUAAUACUAAUAUAGUUGUAGAAAGGGUACCUCUUUUUGUUUGGACUUCAAGCAGUUUAGCUUUAACCGUGUUAAUGGUAUCACAUUCUUGGUUUAUAGAUAAUCAAAGUUGAUUUACCAAUGAGUCGUGAAAUGCUAUGGUUCUUCCAUAUGAUUUCUAAAUUUAUUCAGAAGUAAUUCAUCAAGAUCGUGCACCCUUUUCUUAUUUAUCUGAAAAAUACCAAAAAAUAUUAUAAAGUGCAGCCGAAUAGAUCCAAUCUAUUCUUGAAAUAUACAACUCGCACACACUCCCUUUCAAAAAUAAAUCAAAACACCAACCACUACAGUUAGAUUUAUUAGAUUUGUUGCUAAAAUAUCGGUAUUAAGCCCGAAACUGCCAGCAGAUGGCCAAUGAGCUAAAAAACGAAAGAAUGGGUUACAUUUUUCAUAUGUCUCCUCUUAUAGAUAGGACGAACAAAGAACAAAGUUUUUCGAUCACUUACUUCGCUCGCCCUUUUUUGAUCGAUUUUUUUAAUGCAAAUAGAUUCAAUCUAGUAAUUUCUUUUAGAUUAAGUCUUAUGUCUUGUUUGAUCGGUGAAAGACUUCCUUUGUUGAAAUGUUCUGUUCCAAAAUUCAUAAAAUAAAAGGAAAAAAUUUUCCACUUUCCUAAACUAAGGACGGGAAAUAAGAAGGUGAGCAUAUCUUCCAAAUUAAUAAUACUCAACUCAGCCCUUCUUAGAAUGGGGUAUUAUCUGUCCUGAUAAAUAGAUAAUUCCAGGAGUAAUAAAUAGGAGUAAAUUAAUUAAAGUAUUGAUAUAAUUGGAAUUGCGGAAGCAAAUACCAAUUUACUAAAAAAAGAAAAAAGUAUCUAAUCGAAAUCGAAAGAAUUUUUUUUAAGAUUAAACAAAAGGGUUCGCAAAUAAAAGCACCAGUGCCACAACUAGUCCAUAAAUUGUUAAAGCUUCCAUAAAAGCUAGACUAAGCAAUAAAGUACCUCGUAUUUUACCUUCCGCUUCUGGCUGUCUCGCAAUACCUUCUACAACUUGUCCUACAGCAGUACCUUGACCAACUCUAGGUCCAAUAGAAGCAAGCCCUACGGCCAAUCCAGCAACAAUAAUAGAAGCAACAACAAUUAGUGGAUUCAUGUUGAGCAGUUCCUCGUGUCAAAAAAAAAGAAAUGGUUAAGGAUACAAUCAACCAAUAAAUUCUUACUUCCAAGCUCUAUUGGGGAGAAGUAAAGUAGUUAAAAAGUACAAAUUGAAAUCAAAUUGAAAUGAUAAUGUGAAUUGUCCGAACUACAUGGAAGGGAAUUCCAUAUCCAUAUACCAGAUUAGAUAAUGAAUCUAACCUAGGAAUAUAUAAUAUAAUAUCCUAUAUAUACAUUUGUUUCUUCUAGUUUAUUUGCAUAUUUUCUCAUUUUUCUAUUGAAUCGGAUUCUAAAAUCAUUGCCUAAAAUGGAAACCUCAAUAAAAGAGGACUCCACUUAUAGACAUUAAGGAUAUUAUAGUAUAGAUCUAGCCUGACUCCACCCUCCUUAAUGCAUAUAUACUUCGAAAAUUCCAUAAUAUAGUCUAUUCUAUUCUCUCUCCUACAACUCUAGGCUAUAUAUUCAUACGCACUUCUAACUAUUUUUUUGCAACCAAGCAGAUUAUCUGGAACCAUGCAUGAAUUGAGCUAAGCUUCAAAAAAAUACUAUUUCCAAAAAGAGUCAAUUCAAUGAUGACCCUCCAUGGAUUCACCUAUAUUGGUUGCGGCUAAUGUUGCAAAAAUAAGAGCUCGAAUACUGCUUGUAAAUAAUCCAAGAAACAUGACCGGUAUAGGGAUUACUAAGGGGACUAAAGAAACAAGGACAACAACGACUAAUUCAUCCGCCAACAUAUUCCCGAAAAGUCGAAAGCUAAGCGAUAAUAGUUUUGUGAAAUCUUCUAGGAUGUUAAUUGGUAAAAGGAUUGGAGUUGGUUUAAUAUAUUUCUUGAAAUAGCUCAAUCCUUUUUUGCUAAGACCAACAUAAAAGUAUGCCGCUGACGUGAGUAAAGCUAAAGCAACAGUAGUAUUUAUAUCAUUCGUGGGCGCUGCUAAUUCCCCAUGGGGUAACUCUAUAAUUUUCCAAGGUAAAAGAGCACCCGACCAAAUUGAAACAAAAAUAAAAAGGAACAUAGUUCCAAUAAAGGGAACCCAGGCACCAUAUUCUUCUCCAAUCUGAGUUUUGCUCAAGUCUCGAAUAAACACAAGGACAUAUUCCAAAAAUUUCUGACUGUCAGUCAGGAUGGUUUGUGGAUUCCGAACAGCUAUGACAACUGAACCUAGCAAGAUAGUAAUUACGACCCAAGAAGUGAUGAGUACUUGGGCAUGAAUUUGGAAACAUCCUAUUUGCCAAUAGAAGUGUUGGCCUACUUCUACACCUGAUAUAUCGUAUAACCCAUUGAGUGUUUUAAUGGAACAAGGUAUAAUAUUCAUAUUGUCCUCUGAUAAAAAUUGAACUUAAAAAAAGGAAUUCUUUUGAUUCAACCAUCUCUUUCUCAACUCAGCAACUUGAAGUAUUAAUCUUAUAUUUAGGAUACCAAGAAAGCACAUCAGAUCAUAAUAUAUAUCAAUACCCUCUAAUAUAUAUCAAUAUUCCCCUUCUUUUUUCUAUGCAAAAAAAGAUAUAGUAAAGUAAGUGAUUCCAUAAAUUCACGCAGUUGCCCAAGAAUUGACUAUAUAUUAUUAAUCAAUGAUUUCUUAUCUAGAGAGAACGACCCUCACAGAUUGAAAAUACUAAUUUGGUAAGAAUCAAUCGAAUUGAAAUCAUAGUGUCAUCAUUGGCUGGAAUCGAUAUAUUCGCGAGAUCCGGGUCACUAUUUGUAUCGACUAAAGAAAUAGUAGGAAUCCCUAAAAUGGCACAUUCCCUAAGAGCUAUAUACUCUUUUUGCUGAUCAAGCACGAUCACAAAGUCUGGCAAUCUCGUCAUAUAUUUGAUCCCGCCGAGAUACCUUUGCAAGGUAGAUAAUUUUCUCUUCAAGAUUGCCACAUCUCUUUUUGGGAGAUGGUGGAAUUUUCCCAUUUUUUUCUUGUGCUCUUAAGUCUCUAAAUUGAGAAAGUCUAGUUUUCGUAAUCGACCAAUUUGUUAACAUACCACUGAACCACUUUUUAUUAACAUAAUGACAAUGAGCCCUUAUUGCAGCUGAUGCUACUAAAUCUGUUGCUCUUUUUUUGGUACCAACAAUUAAGAAACUUUUUCCCUGACUUGCUGCAUCAAAAACUAAAUCACAAGCUUCUGAUAAAAAACGAGCCGUUCUAGCCAGAUUUAUAAUAUGAGUACCUUUAUGCUUUGCCGAAAUGUAAGGGGCCAUUUUAGGAUUCCAUUUCUUAAUACCAUGACCAAAAUGAACUCCUACUUCUAUCAUCUCUUUCAAAUUAAUGUUCCAAUAUCUUCUUGUCAUUUUUUCCACACUUCCUUUUUUUAAUCCUACCAUUCCAUUACGGAAUUUAGUUCUUUUUGAAGAUUAAGAAAGAUCCGAAAUAGCUUGAAAUAAAUAAUAAUUGUUCCGGGAGAACCUUGUACUAAGAUAAGAGUUGGCCAUUGAUACAUGGUAUAAACAUAACCACCUUAAUGAAUUAACUGACUUGUUUUACUUAUUAAAAUAAAAAUCUUAAAAAUCUAAAAUUUAACAUGUUAGUGUUCUAAGUUCAAAAGUCUAGUAAAGUAAAAAAAAUAUUUUUUAUGUAUCCUUAAAUGAUAUAGGGUUAAAUGUUAAAUGGGGGUUCUUAGGUCUCAUAAAAAUUGUUUGUUACGUCAGAAUCUGAAGAAACUAAUUCUGUAUGGAGAAACAAAAAAUCACUCAUUUCUGACGCGAAUAGAUUGUUUUAUUUAGAAAUAAAGGUUCUUCUCUUGUGGGGAACGAUGUACAAAUUUUUGGAAUCCUCUACCAACAGGUAUAAUCCCCCCAGAACUAUGUUUUCUUUCAAGCCUUUCACUAAUCAAUGCAACCUCGUAGGGCAGCUUUUGCUAAAACUCGACCAGUUUCUUGAAAACUUGCUUUAGAUAUGAAACUUUGGGUAUUUAGGGAAGGCCCUGUUAUUCACAAUAAGAUUACACAAUAAUAGAUCGAUUCAUCCAAAGCUCGUCCUGCUCGUUCCGCUCGCAAUAGUCCGAUUAAUUCCCCAGGCGAAAAAACAUUAGAUAUUCCAUCUUCGAAAACCCGCACUUUUGAUGUUACUUGGCAUAUAAUAAUCUCUAUAUGUCUAUUAUGGAUCUGUACCCCUUGGGAUCGAUAAACCUUUUGGAUUUUAUUAACCAAAGAGAUACGAGUUUGGGCUAUGGUUAGCUCAGCUCCAAUCAAGAAUCCCCAAGGGACCCCAAGAAUUCUUGGUAUACGCUCAUUCCAAUCCUCAAUUCUCCUUUCAAGAUUCGGGGAUAAUGAAUCAAUUGAACGCGCUUCAAAGAUUUGUUCCACUUUUGGAAAACCUUGCGUUAUGUCACUAGAUCUCGAUUUUUCAUAUAUAAACGUAACUAACCUAUCUCCCUUGUAAAGGAUUUCUCCAUAAUGACCAUUAACAGCUGCUGCUGUAGUGGCCAAAUAAGGUUUAGCUGCUCUUAUAACAAAGGAAUUCAUAUUUACAAUGAAAAUUUGACCGGAUUUUUUAUGUGCGAUUUAAAUAGACAUACAUUUUCACAAAUAAAUUGUCCAAGGUGAAUUAUUGCCAAUGUCUCUUCCCAAGAAUCAUGAUGGACAAAGUGACAAUUCAAAAGGAAUGGAUCCAACAUUAUGUUACUAUCGAAAUUAGAAAUCCUUUUAUUUUCAUCUAUUAAAGAGUAUUUAAGUUCUUGAAGUACUUGGAAGGUUUGUUUUAAAUUUUCAACGAACAAAUAUUUUUAACAGGAUUUUAUUAUGAGUUAGUAAAUAUUAAGAUGAAGAAAAAUGCGAUAUACUAGCUAUAAUAGCGCCUAAGGGUCCAAAAGUUUCUCGAAUAGGAAUUCUAGGAUUCCAUUCUUUUAUCGCAUUGGGAUGUUUUGAAUUCUUGAAUAAACCAAUUCAAGAACAGUUGGAUGCCGACAAAAUCAUCAAAGAGUGGUAUUGUUUAUUUCGAUUCAACAAAGUGCCAAUAGCUUCUGGAUGUUGGCUAAGUGAUUCAAUCUUCGCCUUGGAAUAAAAAGAAUUGAUAUUGGUGCGAUCUAACCUAUUAUGGGGAAUUGGACCUGCACUUGUCCUACCAUACCUUUUUCGUGUAUACGAAAUAGUGGACUGACUAACUCAAUUCUUAGGAAAUCGCGAAUAAGAUCAUUUGCUCUUACCUCAACAAGGGAAGCACCAGCCUUUUCUUUUUCUUCUUGUUCCCAAUUCACUACUAAGCAAGUUCUAACAAAUUGACUAUUUGUGUGAUAAAUUCUUUGAGUUAACUUGCUAUUUUCAUGAGAAAUAAAAUUGACAAGUCGAAUUUGAAGAUUAUUUUCUUCUUGCAAGAGAUCCUGCGGGAAAAGUGUUGCUAAAUUUCUUCCUUCGUCCAUUUCAUAUGCCACUGUAGGGUGAACGGAAAUAAAAUACUUUUCCUUGCUCUUGAGAAUUUUUUUCCGUUGAACAUAGACCCAAUUUUUCCUUUUUUUGAUUCCUUAAGAGUGUUUUAUUUGUCUUUCUAGCGGUAUCGAACAGCCACCUAAUAUCUUAUCCGCCUCUUCAGGAAAAUGAAUAUCUCCGGAAAAUAGUUUGAGUUCCGUAUGGCUUUUUUUUCUCUUCACUCGGACCAGUCCGCCUAGUCGACUUCUUGUAUUUUUUGUGAGUUGUGUAUCCACUCCAAUAAUACUAUUGUCAAGUAUCUUUAGGGAUGAAGAUCUCGGCAAGAUAUGAAGUUCUUGAAGAAUGAAAAAAAACCCGAUCUACUUCUUUUUGGUAUUUUAGACUAAAUUCUUUUGUUCCUUGAUGCUCAAUCAAACCCUCUUUUUUUAAGAUGGAAUCUUCCUCUGGGCUCUCGUAUUCGUCCUCUGAAUCUUCUUCUGAGUCUUCCUCUAAAGUACCAUAUUUUUCCUCUGCGCUUUCCCCGGGGCUGCCAUGUUCGUCUUCUAGUCUUCCUCAAGAGUUCCAUAUUCGUCCCCUUGGGUCCUAUAUUUGCUCUCUGGGCUCCCAUAUUCCUCUUCUAAGUCUUUCUCUAAAGUCCUAUAUUCGUUCUCUGGGUUCUCAUAUUCGUUUUCUGGGCUCCCAUAUUCGUCUUCUAGGGUUUCAUAUUCGUAUUUGUCUUCUAGGAUUCCAUAUUUAGAUUCUUCUAGGGUUUCAUAUUCAUAUUCGUCCUCUCGGGUCCUGUAUUCGUCUUCUAGGGUCUCAUAUUCCUCUUCUGAGUCUUACGCUCGAGUCCUAUAUUCUUCUUCUAGGGUCCUAUAUCUAAAUUUAAUAAUUCAUGAACCCUUUUUAUCUUUUCUGUAUCGAGGAUCAUCAAAAUAAGCAAAAAUAGUAUUUCUACGUAAACACCCAUAAGGGGGAUUUUAAUCGAAAUCCCAACCCAUGAUAUUAGUUCUUUCUCUUGUUCUUGAUGAUAUUGUAAUGGAAUGACGAACCUAUUUCUUCGCUUUUUCGCCAACAAAUCUGAAUUAUCUUGAAAAAUAGAAGGAUAGAUAAAAUUCCAAUGGCCAUUGGACAUGAUUCGAUCCGACGUUGAAUAAUCAAGAAUUUCCCUAUCUUUUUUUACCAUAAGUAUUCAUUUUAUCUUGAUCCUUGUGGAGUGAAAAAGACGCUAUACUUGAUCUGCACAUACUUACUGACAAUAUCCAUAAAUGGCUUGUUUUUGGUAAUCGGUGAAGAUUACCAUAUUGAUAUUCGGGCACAUGGUAAACAUCAGUACUCCAGUGCAUUUCGCCGUCUGAUUCAGAAUAAAUAUGCUUUUGUACCCUUUCUUUAAAAUGUAAAGUGGACGUUCCGGCAUGAAUCUCCACAAUUACUUGUUCGGAUUUUACAUAUUGAUCAUUUUGCACUAGAAUCAAGCUUUUUGUGGGAAUAUUCACACUAUAUAGAAUAUCUUGACUCUGAAUAGUUACAUGCAAGUCUAUAUAAUAUAGAAAAGCAAGCUGCCCAUGACGGGUACAUGUGGGGUGAACCAAAUUCUCAUUGAAUUUUAUUUUUCCAUUCGAAAGGGAUCGUACAAGGUCGGCAGUACCCCCUGUGAAUACUCCGCCAGUAUGAAAAGUUCUUAAUGUUAGUUGAGUCCCUGGCUCCCCAUUUGAUUGACCUGCAAUAAUACCUACGACUUCUCCCAAUUCGACCAGAUCACUAUGAGUAGGACUCCGGCCAUAGCAUAAUUGACAGAUCCAAGAAGUGCUUCGGCAAGUAAAGGGGGUUCUAAUAUAUAUUGGUUGUGCUCGAAAUGGUUGUGCUCGAAAGGCAGUUAUGAAUCGAUUGACUAAUCCAAUUCCAAUAUCUUGAUUUCGCGUGGCAAUGCAUCAUGAACCGAUGUAUAUAUAUCGUCUGCUAAUACACGACCAAUUAGUGUUUGGACAAAAAGUUUUUCCGUCAUUCCAUUUUGAGGACUUACAGAAAUACCUCGGAUAGUACCACAAUCUCUUAUACGCACAAUAAUAUGUUGAACUACUUCACCAAGUCUACGUGUAAGAUAUCCAGCAUCUGCUGUUCGCACAGCAGUAUCUACAACCCCUUUGCGGGCUCCAUAGCAGGAAAUUAUAUAUUCUGUCAAGGAAAGUCCCUCGCGUAAAUUGCUUUGAAUAGGUAGAUCAGUCAUUUGUCCUUGAGGGUCCGACAUUAAUCCUCUCAUACCUACUAAUUGGUGUACUUGAGAUGCAUUUCCUCUGGCUCCUGAAAAAGACAUUAGAUAGACUGGAUUAGAAGGAUCCGUUAUCCGAAAAUUUGAAUUCAUUUCUUGUUUCAAAUAUUCACUUUGUCACAUACCAUAUCUCAACAGAUUGGCAUAAUUUUUCUACCGUGUGUACAACCCCAUAAUAAUAGUGUUUCUCCAAAAGAAAACUCUGUUGUUCCGCGUCUUGGACUAACCAUCCCUUAGAGGGUAUUGUUAAAAGAUCCUCGAUUCCUAACGAAAUCAAUGUAGUAGUGGCUUGAUGGAAGCCCAGAGUCUUUAGUUGAUCCAGCAUAUGGGAUGUAUAUCCCAUUCCAAAAUGAUCUAUUAAUCUGCUAAUAAGUCGUUUCAUACCAGUUCCAACUAUCUCUUUAUUAUGAAAGACCAGAUUGGCCCGUUCCACCAUACAUAAGUACCCCCUUUUCGGCUGAGUAGGAUUCGACAAUUGCUGAGUAGGAUUCGACAAUGGACCUGAGUUAGUGAUUCGAAAAUUUAAUUAACUUAAUUGCCUCAAUCUCAAUAUGGAUUCGCGUGGCAAAUAAUGAUGAUAGUAGGGAAAUCGGAGUGCCCCCCGAAAGGGGAGGGGCACUGCCGAAUCUAACUUUCUUGUUUAGGUAGUGUAUGAAUAGGCCCGACUAAAUCCUUAUAAGAAAUAUGACCAAGAGUAGUUCGAAUGUAUAUCGAACGAAUUUCUUUUUUUCUAUUUCCCAUUAUUAGAUAGUGGGCAUAAAUCUCAUGAUAAGUCCCCAAAGAUUCAUAUUGAACUUCAAUCGGAACUUCUCUUGACCCAAUGACGCAUUGACCCAGGUUCCAUCGUAGCCACAAGGGACUAUCUAAACUGAUUAGCUUUUGUCUAUAAGCUCCUAGUGCAUCAUAAGAACUAGAAAAAUGGGGUUCUUUAUCUUUCCUAUAUUUAGAAUUAUUAUUAUUAUUGUAAUUUACUUUUAGAUUUGGGUAGUUUCUGCAACUAUUAUAUCAAUUUGCACAAAUACCUCGACGCUUUCCAAUCGUUAACACAUAUAGCUCGAUAAGCAUGUCUUGGGUUGGUACGCAAAUAGGAUCCCCAAUAGCGGGAGAUAAGAGAUUCAUAUGAGAAAACAUAAGUAAAUGGGCUUUUGCCUGAGCUUCCAAGGAUAAAGGUAGAUGAACAUCCAUUUGAUCUCCAUCAAAGUCCACAUUGAAACCCUUACACACUAAUGGGUGUAAAGAAAUAGUACGCCCCUCUACUAAAGUGGGCUGAAAGGCAUGUAUGCCUAAUCUAUGCAAGGUAGGUGCUCUAUUUAACAGUACAGGAUGUCCCCGUAUAACUUCUUGAAGUAUUUCCCAUACAAUGGGUUAUUUUUCCCAAAUUUUCCUUUUAGCAAUCCUUACAUUAGAAGUGGCGCGUUUCGUGAUUAAAUCGCGAAUUUCAAAUAGCUGAAAAAACUUUAUUGCUAUCUCUAGAGGUAAUCCACAUUGAUGUAAUGAAAGCGAAGGACCCACAAAAAUGACAGAAGGCCCCGAGUAAUCGACCCGUUUCCCAAGCAGAGUCUCGCGAAACCUUCCCUCUUUACCUUCAAUUACAUCUGAAAGUGAUUUGUAUAUUUUACUGUGACCAUCCCUCGUCAGUUGCCCGCGGGACGCACUAUCAAGAAGUGUAUCCACGGCUUCUUGUACCAAUUUUUCCUGGCACAUUACUAAAUCUGCUGGCGCUAAUUCACUUCUUUUUAAUAGAUAGGCAAGAUUGUUGUUCCGACGGAUAACUCUCUUAUAAAUUUCAUUAAUGUUUGAAGUCACUACUUUAUCUCUAGACCUAUAAACAAUAGGUCUCAAUUCGGGAGGAAGAACCGGUAAUAAGCACAAAACCGUCCAUUAUGGUUCUACAUUUGUUUGAAUAAAAUGUUUCGCCAAUUGCAUGCGUCUAAUCAAAAAAACUUUUCUUAUUUGUCCUUUUAUCUUCCCAUUCAUCUCCACUAUACCCCUCGUCUUGUAAUUCCUUCCAUUCGACCAAAGAAUUCUCUAUAAUCUUUCCCUAUAAUCUCUCCCUAAUAAUAAAGCACGGAUUGGGUCUCCGGGUUCACCGUCGCAGUGUUUUUGCAUAAAGAUCCCUGUGCUUUUUAGGAAUUAACCCGCAGUCACAUCCCUAAGUAAAAUAACGGUUCCCAUGAAAAAAAGGGUCGCCGCAUCCUCUCGCACACGCACGCCUACCUGCAUCUCCCCGACGGCUUCGCCUCACCGGCGGCAGGCCACCCCGCGCCCAACUAGCCUCGCCUCGCACCGGAGGCGUCCGGAGGCAGGCCAACCCUCCGCCCGACUCGCCUCGCCUCGCACCGGAGGCGGCCGGUGGUAGGUCGGACCCCCCUCCCCUCGCUGCUGCCGCCAUCUACCACCACCAUCCUCGCCGCUCCCUCCCUCGCCCAACCUUAUCUAGACGCCUAACCGAGAGAGGAGGAGGGGGGUUGACAAGGAGAGAGCAAUCAGCCGCCGGCGGCGGCGCCUCCGAGUACAGGUAGGCGAUGGUGGCGACUUGGUAGCAGUGAGCGGCCGAUUCAUCUCGCCUUCAUCUCCUCGCUAGCUCUCUGUCCUUCACAGGUUCUAAGAUAUGGCCUCUACUCCUCGACAGCCACACCGACGCCCCGUCCAAGAAACCAGCCCUGCCGCCCUGCCGCUCCCAACCCCCCUGAGUCUCAACCUCGCCGCCUAUUCUGGUCGAUGUUGUGAUUGAUAAUAACCAGGAAGAUUUCACCGCUCAGUUCAUCCAUUUGAAUCCUUCUACCUAAAAAGCACCGACACGCCAGAAUCAGCCGAACUGCCGUCCUGAUACGGCGGGAUACGGGGAUACGCCGGGAUACGCUGGGAUACGCGAACUAAGCCGUGUCCCACGAAUUUCGAUUAAUAAUAAGGAAAAAAUUAUAGGGAUAUGGUGGGACACGUCUGGGACACGUUUGGGACACGGCCCAGCCCAAAACCAGCCUCGGUCCAACCCAAUACGAAACCCUAUAUGUCUCCCGCACCUUCUCUGUCAUGAGAACGAGGUGCUCCCUCCCAGGUCGUACUGCACGAGCCGCCGCCUCCUGGAUCGACGCCGCUGCCGGCGACGCCUGGAUUCGGCGACCGCUAGCCCCAGCACCAGCAGCCUUUACUCGAAGGUAACCCAACAGCCUCUCCUAUUCCUCAACCUCUUCCUCUUUGAUUCAUCAUAUUUCUACCAUUAAGCUGCUGGAUCCUGGAUGUUGCUUGCUAUCUUGUGCUGCUGGGUUGAAUGCUUGCGCUGCUGCUCCAUGUUGCUUCAAGUAUGUUUUGUCCUCUAAUCUUUCAAUUAUGUCUUCUCCUCUAAUCUUCUUUACUGUUUGUGUUUGAUAUGUUUUGCAAGAUGGAUGCAGCUUGCAAUGACAACAUGGCAUGGGGGGAUGAGGAUCAAUCAAGCACUUGGCAAAAAAGAUUUCUUUCUUAUUAAUUUUCUGUCUUAACUUAAUAUUACAUGCCUGUCAGGACCCCGACUCAAUGCCACAUCGAUCUAGCAUGUAACACCUCAUAUCACUUUGCGGCCUCACGCACGGUAUUCCCACGGGUGUCGCCUUACCUUAGCCCGGAACCGUUUGCGCCUUUUGGCACACGUAUAUGACGUUGUCGCUAGCAUCCAUAUGAUAAGGAGCCCGGGCUGACAUGGCUAGUCGUAAACCCAAAGUGGCACAGACUUACAGGGACAGGCAUCCAUGACCCAGCAUCGAACGUGUCGGUCAUUAGCGAGUGAAUCCAGGCUGUAGCACUGGGCUAGCAGGACUCCGGUAUUCAUCGCGUGACAUUUCCCCGAAGGGACAGACACAGGAACGAAGAAGGACACAUGCCGGCCAGCCUAAGUGUUCCGGAGCAGUAGCAAGCUACCAAGGCUCAAUGGAAACACUAGGAGACAUUUCCCGGUAAGAGAGGCUACUAAAGAUAAACAACUAGAUAGUCAGAUCCCACACAUACCAAGCAUUUCAAUAACAUACACACAAUAUGCUCGAUAUGUGCAAUACGACAUGGCAUCACAAAAUGACUCUACGACUCAAGUAUUUAUUCAAUAGGCUCCGAGGAGCGAGAUAUUACAAACAUGGGUCUCAUGACCCAACAAUCAGAGCAUACAAGUCAAAACACAAGCGGAAGCUAUCAUGUCUGAGUACAGACAUCUAUAAAUGAAAAAGGCUGAGAGGCUUGACUAUCUAUCAGAUCCUGCCGACGGCACAAGAUCGUAGCUGAGGUAUCAAGCUAAACGUCGAAGUCCACGCGGAACUACUAGCGAGACCGAAGUCUCUCUGCAAAAACAUAAAAUAGGCAAACGUGAGUACAAAUGUACCCAGCAAGACUUACAUCAGAACUAACUACAGAUGCAUCAUUAUCAACAAAGGGGAUGGUGGGGUUUAACUGCAGCAAGCCAGCUUUGACUCGGUGGCUAUCCUGAACUACGACUGCAAUGUAACUCUUUUGAGGUGGCGCACACGAGUCCACAUAUUCACCAUAUCAAUACACCACUAUGGAUCCGCUCCCGUCUCCCUACGAGAACGCCAUCCAUAGCACUCACGCUUAUCUUGCGUAUUUUAGAGUAUCCACUUUCACUUGUCUAUGAACUGAUAUAAGCAACCCAGAAGUCCUUUUCCGCGGACACGGCUAUUCGAAUAGAUGAUGUUAACCCUGCAGGGGUGUACUUCUUCAUACAUGUUUCCACCACUUAGCGUCUGCACACGACAUGUGCUCGGCAGACUUCAAGCGAAAGCCGACGUGGGUGUAGACCACGACCUACCUAAACACUCAAGUCUCUAGUCCAGGUUUAUCGCCUAUUCGGGUUCCAUCCAUGAGGAGAUCCGGCCGGAGUUUCGCUCACAGCCCCAAACGAUGUGAACAGGGUUCCCGAGAUACCAAACGGUACACCGUGCCACGUACCUACCGCAUCACAGCCCACCCCUACGGUCAGCGCUGUCCAUGGCCUCCAGUAAGCUACAAACACCAGAAACUACUUGCAACUCCUGGACAGAGGACUAGGGUGAAUAAGAAGUCGAGCGGGGUCAUAUUUCAGGGCCCAAUGUAUGGUAGUAGCUGAAUCAUGGAUCACAAACACAGAACUCAGUUCCUGAGGACGGCUGCAAUGAGACAACCCACCAUGUACUCCUACAUGGCCUCUCACCGCUACCUUUACCAAAUCGUGUUCACACACUUAGCUCACACACGGUAGGACAUGUUCACAUGCCUCUGAUUCAUCCCCGAUGAAUCAGACCUGACUCAACUCUAAGCAGUAGCAGGCAUGACAAACAAACAUGAAUGAGUAGGCACAACAGGCCUCAAACAACUCCUACUCAUGCUAGUGGGUUUCAUCUAUUUACUGUGGCAAUGACAGGUCAUGCAAAGGAUAAAGGGGUUCAGCUACCGCAGCAAGUAACAAAUAUGUCGCUGUUGUCCUAAUGCAGUAAAGGAGAGCAGGAGCGAGAGAGUGGGAUUUUAUCGGAAUGAACAAGGGGGUUUUGCUUGCCUGGCACUUCUGAAGAUAACAUUGAGUCUUCAUCAGUGUCAACGAUCACAUCAUCGGUAUCACGUCUAUCGAGAGGGGACAAAUACCGGCAACACAGAAGGGAACACAAUCAAUGCAAUGCACAAUAUGAUGCAUGAUCAUGACAUGGCAAUAUGAAUGUGUUUUGAGCUAAUGAAACUAGCAACAGAUUAAAUGAAGUUGGUUUGAAUACAAGAUUCAAAUUCAAACUCCAUAUGUGAUUAUUCAAAUGCCAUUUAAUUGAUUUGUGCUAAACAGCAGCUAUAAGUUGUUCUAACAUGCAUGAAAAUGGUACAGAUGGAUUCCUUGAAUUUUUCUGAUAAUUUUUCAUAUAUAAUUUAUUUAAUUUGGAGCUAUGGUUGAAUUUCUAUGAAUUUUAGAAGUUUUAGGCAUUUUCUGGAAUUAUAAAUCAUUUCCUAAUUUAUUUUAAUUCCAGAAAGGAAUUAUUGCGUCAGCAUGACCUCAUGCUGACCUCAGCAGGUCAACGGGCGCCGUCCAGGUCAAACUGACCUGUGGGACCCAUAUGUCAGCGUCACAGUUAGUUAACAGGGGGUUAUCUGCUUAAUUAAAGGAUUAGGGGGGGUCGGGGCCCACUGGUCAGUGUUAGUGGCUAAUUAGGUUUAGUUAAUGGCCUGGGGCCCACACGUCAGUGAGAGAGAGGGGAGGGUCAAACCGGGCAGUGGGUCAACCCACGCCGGUCAAGGGUCAACGGUCGCCGGCGUUUAGCCGCCGGCGAGUCCCGACGCGGUGGUGCGCUGCGGAAAUGGCCUACAGAGCGCCGUUUGGCGCGCGGAGCACGACUACGGGAUGCGGACGCUCGUCCGCAUCCAACCAGGGUGGUGGCGCGGCCGGGGAGUGGCCGGAGAGUGGUCGGCGACGAGCUUUAGCGGCGGCCGGGGUUCGGCGUCAGUGAGGACGGCGCUGCGGUGUGCAAACGAGACGGUUGUCGCGCUAGUUUUACUCUACGGGACGUAACGAGUGCAACGGACGCAUGCGUGGGACCAAAAGGUCACCGGGGCUUCACCGGCGACGAGCCCGUGCGGCGGAGCGUCUCGGCUCCGGUGGAGGGAGCGGCUGGAGCUCGAAAUCGGACAUGGGGUUAGGGGGAAACGAAGGCGGGGCUUACAGGGGGUCGAUUGGAGGGCCCAGCGGCUCGGGGGAGACGUCGGAGGUGGCGAGCGGGCGCCGGCGAUCUCGGGCUGCCGGAGAUGGGGAAGACGGCGUGGGCGGCGAUGCAGGGCUCCCGGCGUUGCGUAGCUCCAUGGAGAGGUCAGGGGCGUCGAGGCGGAGCCUUUGGUCACUCUGGUGGGGUGGAACGACGGUGGUGGCUACGACUGCGACGAGCGGCGGCGACGGCGGUUCUCGGUCGCGCGAGUGAGAGAGCCAGAGAAGAGAGAAGAAGGAACGGGGAGAGUGAGAACGGUCCAGGGGGGUGCGUGGCAUCCUCAGGCGACAGGGAGACAGGCAGAGAGGCAGGAGGUGGCCUGGGCGUGUGCCCGCGCGCUCCGGCCACGCGCCUGCGCCUACUGGUGCGAGGAGGAAGGCGACAGGGGGGGAAAGUGGAGAUGGGCUGGGCUGGCCAGGUGGGCCUGGUGGGCUGCAGAGGUAAGUCCAGGUAAGGUUUCUCUCCUCUGUCUUUUAUUUCUAUUUCAGUUCUGUUUUCUUUUAUUUAAUCUGUUUUGCCACUGUUUUGAAUUUAAAAAUAAUUCAAACAAUGCCAAAAACUCCUCUGAAUAUUUUAUAUUGCUAGAUGGACUUUUCCAAAAGCUUAUAAAAUAUUUCAGGGGUAUUUGAAAUUAUAUUCUAAUUAUAUGAAUAUAAUUCAAAUUCAAAUAGCUAAUGAAUUAAAUCCAAAGUCCCAAAAAUAAUUCCUUAAAAAUGUUCAAUAUUUUGGUUGGGACCAGAACCCUUACCAAAAAUUAUCAAACAUUUAAGAAGAGCAUUUUGGAGCAAUGAAUGAGAUUUAUAGGGUUUUUGCCCCUCUUUUAUUUAAGUUUUUGAGGCUUCCAAAAAUUCCUCAGUUCAAGUUUCGAAAAUAUAGACAUGAUGCACACAUGAAGCUAGCCUAGAGCACUACCAGCAGCUAGGGAUGUGACAACUCACCCCCACUAAACAAGAAUCUCGUCUCGAGAUUCAAGCGUAGGGUAAGGUGAAGGGUAAACGCAACUAGUAUAAUCUUCACGAUCCAGGGUGCACUUCAGUUGAACGUUGAUUCAUUCACCAUCAUUGUCUUGAUGUCCUGCUCUGAGAAAUCCUGUCAACAUGGCAUGGAGGGAAGAAGGAGACUCUAGAAGGGUCGAUCUUCUCGAAGAUCGAACAACUCAGGAUUAACUCACGGAAUGAGACAUAGAACCAUCUCUCGGGUUGAGACACGAGAUACACAUCAAGAGGGGUGGAAAGAAACGGAUGACGAAGGUUCACUAGGUAGACAACAAUUUCACGCUUAAGAAGGUGGUAAUCGAUUAUCAACGUAGCGAGGAGUUGAGUUGCCAUGAAACCACAACGAGGCACCUUAGGGAAGGUGACUCGUAGAAAUAUCCCCUUAAGUGGCAAAAAGAAUUACCUUUGAUUCAGAGAUCAUUGAGACUCUUUAAACCAGCCUAAGGCAAUUCUCGAGCAAUCGUUUGGAGGGGUUCGGUGGAAUGGUAUACUCGGACUUGGCUGAUGUGGAUUACCUUGUUGAAGACAAUGUAAUGGAUGAAUUUGCUUAUCACCAGAAAUGGAAGAGACCCAUGGUAGAAUGGCACAUUGGCGGUGCAAGCUGGGAACAAAAUGCAAAUACUGGGAAUGAUUCUGGUAACUGGGGAAGAACCCAACAAUAGAGAGUGAAUCCACUGUUUGAGAAGUUAUAGCAUAACCGAGGAAGUUGGGAGCAAACCUAGUUAGUGUCGAUGGUAACACCUAACGCUUGUGCGUGCUCUCAAGAACUUGAGCAUUUCCAUAACCAUCAAGGUUUUACCAAUAUCCGUGUCAAGGAUUCUGGCAACACAACUUACUACCAUGAUGAAUACCGGUGGAAGAUGCCGAUGCAAAGGAAGAUAACACCUUCUUAGAUUUCACCCUUGGCGGGGUCAAGGAAAUAAAAUCUGGAUGAUCGACCGAGAGACAUUUAGCACUCCGCUUCUAAUGUUCUCCAUGAUGUGAUAGCAUAAUCCAUUCAUAGAUAUGGUUUGACAUCUAGGACAUCAAGUAAAGGUCGGACUUCGGGAUCUCAAAAAUCAAUAGGGGCAACUAGGGAGUAAAUCCUACGAAAUCCCUAUGGGGAGGUGGCCAACUUCUCCAAUCAAGAUACUACAAUAAUAGGUCUCCUGGCGGGGUGUGUUGGCCACGACAUCCACCUUACCGGUUUCCGAGGGACCAAUAUUAUAGUUCUUGGGAAAUGUUCUAAACCAUCAUAUCUGCCUGAGAUUCAGAUCUGGUUGGUGUCAGGAUAUUCCAGACUCAUCGAGUCUAGGAAGGAAAACGAAAGUUUGCAACACAAAUCGACGAGAUGACGUUGCGAGAUUCUCGGGAAAUGAACUAUGAUAGUAAGCUCCAAAACAUGAGCUGGUUCUGCUACAAACAUGUGAACACGUUGUCCCAGACAAGCAUGACCACGUGGUAGUCUUAUAAUAAAACACUACCGAGUUCAGGUGGGGAACCAUCAACGAGGAUAUCAAAAUCCUUGCAUAAGGUAUACUCUUAAGAAGGAACUUCUUCUCCUUGAACAAAUCAAUCAGUGGCUUGGUGUGCUAGGGAUACAUAUAGAUUGAAGGUUGCAAGUCUUCAAACCACAGAAUUCUUCGCACAUGUGCAUGACUGACUUGCGAUGAUUCCAGAGGAAGCAACAUUGACUUUCUCGAGUUUACGGCGGCACCCUGCAUCAAAUGCACACGAACUAGAGGAAGUCACUUCUUACAUCCGAACAUAUGCUUCAUGAGCUAGCAUGAACGAAUGCUUUCAAAAGUUUCCAACACUAGCUUAAUGUUCAGCAAAAUUAUGGAGAAGACAAGGAUGUUGUCAAUGGGCACAACAACAAUUCAUCUGGGUUUCCUUUUAAAAGGAAUUCCAUAGUUAAGUGAACAAGUGAUAGCAUUGGUCAGACCCAAAAGAUAUAAUGGUGUAUGCUCGAGGGAUCAACCACGAGUAAGACAACAUUACGAAUAUCGUUGGUUCUGGUCUGAUUGGAUGAUAGCCCAUACUCAAUCAAAGGUUUGGGUAAGAUAAUAGAUCCAACAAUUGUUCACGAGGACCAAUUGAUGAAGAUAUCAUCUUUCUUCAACACACACACACACACACACAAAAAGAUAUCCCUUAACAUGAACUAAGUCGGACAAGCUUUUAUCUUCCAACUCUCCAAGUUGUUGUUUAGCUUAUCCAACUAGCUCAGGGUAUCCAACACGGAUUCUUGGAGAAGGGGUGGUUUACAGGAAUAAACCAACUUGAUCACGAACUCAACAUAGCGGUCAGGUGACAACCUGGUAAUACUUCUGAGAAGAUAUUCAAAAAAUCACGAACCACCGGUAUGUUACUAAGCUCGAGAACAAUCUUGCUUUUCAGGGCAAGACGAUAUGAUCAAUAGAGCAAGGAUUUGAAAUAAUCCUAACUCAUCGAUCAAGGAGUGAACCAGGAGAAUGGACUAGGUAGCACGAUCAAUCUUAGAAUGAUGAUUCAAUAACCAACACACUAAGAAUGAAAUUAUUGUCCUUUAACUACCCAGCAACGAGGUUGCUAGGCGUAUUGAUUUCACACAUCACAAUUCAUUUGUCGGUAUUCCGGUUGCAUCAACACGAAGACCGAGGAAUGACUAAUGAUGGCAAGAAGUAUCACUGUACCAAGAGUUCAUAGGAUGGUGUGCAAUUCCUAUAACAAUCCCGAUAUAAAGAUGGUAAUACUCCAAGGUAGAACAGAACAAAAGCUGGAUUAGCAAUUUGAUCUGCGGAGCACAACUUCUUUGACCCAAUCCUAUAUAUGGAAGAGGUACUGGAGUUUGUUUCUCCUAGUCAUUCUGCGAUAGAAUGGCUUGGCGGACCACAAGAGUAAUAGGCAUCGAUAAACGAACGCACGCAUACUCUUGACUAUCAAUUGAUAGACGAGGGUCAGAAUGCAACUAAAGAGAACAACUCAAAGGAACAUAUAAUUUUCUGAGUUGUGGAUGCAUAGAUUAGUAUGUCGAACCAAGUUCAACAUAUUUCUUCCGGAUAACCCAUGCAGAAAGGUAGAACUGGCAGAGUCACGAUUUAUGAAUGGAGAACUCCUCAAGAAUAAUCCUGUUGUGAUAUUUCAGUUCAACGAGGAACUUCUGCCAUAAGUAGUUCAUGGUAUUUGGAAGAAGAAGAUACCACGGACUUCAAGGACUAUCGCAAAGGUUACUAAUAUCCUGAAGGCACUAGCAAUUACUAUCAACAUGAAGUAGGUAGAGUGAAUCUCGGGUUCAAGAACCCUGGAACAGAAUACCUAUUACUAAGUAGCAUCACGGGAUGCUUUCGAGAAUGAUGGCCAGAAUCAUCACACUGGGAACACAAAUCAUGGCUAAAUUACUAGAUGAUCCCCUAAGACACCUAGGGUCAUAAUAAUAUCUCCAACAUAUAUGUCAAGGUAACAGAGUACCUCAACUCACUAAUUAGUGUGGUUAAUCUGGCCCAAAGGAACAUUGAAACGGGAGGAAGGAAUUUGCAAGUGCAUCAGACUGUUUAGAGACCUGAGAUGACUCGGACAGCGUAACGGCUGUAAAUGCUCAAAAAAGGUUUGAGACAUUCACAAAAAUGGUGGCAUAACCACCCAGAAACACAAUAUCAAGGUUUCAAGAUCAACAAUUAACAUACGGAAGUAGUAGGAACUGAACUGAGACUUAAACCCAACAAUCUUAAGUCUACGGAUUAGUAACACGUGAUCCUGAUAGAAAGAAGAGAUAACCUAGUUCUUAAUCCCCGUAGAAGAGAAGAUGAUGACUCAGAUCAGAAGGCCAUGAGGUAUAAGGAGUAAAAAGAGCCUUACGUUCCAUCCCACAAUCAAUUCCCUUAUAUAACUAAGAAUUUCUAGACUCAACUUCGACCAGUUUGGCUUGGUAAUCCUACAGGCAGUCAAGCUCUGAUACCAACGCUGUCAGGACCCCGACUCAAUGCCACAUUGAUCUAGCAUGUAACACCUCAUAUCACUUUACGGCCUCACGCACGGUAUUCCCACGGGUGUCGCCUUACCUUAGCCCGGAACCGUUUGCGCCUUUUGGCACACGUAUAUGACGGUGUCGCUAGCAUCCAUAUGAUAAGGAGCCCGGGCUGACAUGGCUAGUCGUAAACCCAAAGUGGCACAGACUUACAGGGACAGGCAUCCAUGACCCAGCAUCGAACGUGUCGGUCAUCAGCGAGUGAAUCCAGGCUGUAGCACUGGGCUAGCAGGACUCCGGUAUUCAUCGCGUGACAUUUCCCCGAAGGGACAGACACAGGAACGAAGAAGGACACAUGCCGGCCAGCCUAAGUGUUCCGGAGCAGUAGCAAGCUACCAAGGCUCAAUGGAAACACUAGGAGACAUUUCCCGGUAAGAGAGGCUACUAAAGAUAAACAACUAGAUAGUCAGAUCCCACACAUACCAAGCAUUUCAAUAACAUACACACAAUAUGCUCGAUAUGUGCAAUACAACAUGGCAUCACAAAAUGACUCUACGACUCAAGUAUUUAUUCAAUAGGCUCCGAGGAGCGAGAUAUUACAAACAUGGGUCUCAUGACCCAACAAUCAGAGCAUACAAGUCAAAACACAAGCGGAAGCUAUCAUGUCUGAGUACAGACAUCUAUAAAUGAAAAAGGCUGAGAAGCCUGACUAUCUAUCAGAUCCUGCCGAGGGCACAAGAUCGUAGCUGAGGUAUCAAGCUAAACGUCGAAGUCCAUGCGGAACUACUAGCGAGACCGAAGUCUCUCUGCAAAAACAUAAAAUAGGCAAACGUGAGUACAAAUGUACCCAGCAAGACUUACAUCAGAACUAACUACAUAUGCAUCAUUAUCAACAAAGGGGAUGGUGGGGUUUAACUGCAGCAAGCCAGCUUUGACUCGGUGGCUAUCUUGAACUACGACUGCAAUGUAACUCUUUUGAGGUGGCGCACACGAGUCCACAUAUUCACCAUAUCAAUACACCACUAUGGAUCCGCUCCCGUCUCCCUACGAGAACGCCAUCCAUAGCACUCACGCUUAUCUUGCGUAUUUUAGAGUAUCCACUUUCACUUGUCUAUGAACUGAUAUAAGCAACCCAGAAGUCCUUUUCCGCGGACACGGCUAUUCGAAUAGAUGAUGUUAACCCUGCAGGGGUGUACUUCUUCAUACAUGUUUCCACCACUUAGCGUCUGCACACGACAUGUGCUCAGCAGACUUCAAGCGAAAGCCGACAUGGGUGUAGACCACGACCUACCUAAACACUCAAGUCUCUAGUCCAGGUUUAUCGCCUAUUCGGGUUCCAUCCAUGAGGAGAUCCGGCCGGAGUUUCGCUCACAGCCCCAAACGAUGUGAACAGGGUUCCCGAGAUACCAAACGGGCAUCCGGUACACCGUGCCACGUACCUACCGCAUCACAGCCCACCCCUACGGUCAGCGCUGUCCACGGCCUCCAGUAAGCUACAAACACCAGAAACUACUUGCAACUCCUGGACAGAGGACUAGGGUGAAUAAGAAGUCGAGCGGGGUCAUAUUUCAGGGCCCAAUGUAUGGUAGUAGCUGAAUCAUGGAUCACAAACACAGAACUCAGUUCCUGAGGACGGCUGCAAUGAGACAACCCACCAUGUACUCCUACAUGGCCUCUCACCGCUACCUUUACCAAAUCGUGUUCACACACUUAGCUCACACACGGUAGGACAUGUUCACACACCUCUGAUUCAUCCCCGAUGAAUCAGACCUGACUCGACUCUAAGCAGUAGCAGGCAUGACAAACAAGCAUGAAUGAGUAGGCACAACAGGGCUCAAACAACUCCUACUCAUGCUAGUGGGUUUCAUCUAUUUACUGUGGCAAUGACAGGUCAUGCAAAGGAUAAAGGGGUUCAGCUACCGCAGCAAGUAACAGAUGAAUCGGUGUUGUCCUAAUGCAUUAAAAGAGAGCAGGAGCGAGAGAGUAGGAUUGUAUCGGAAUGAACAAGGGGGUUUUGCUUGCCUGGCACUUCUGAAGAUAACAUUGAGUCUUCAUCAGUGUCAACGAUCACAUCAUCGGUAUCACGUCUAUCGAGAGGGGACAAAUACCGGCAACACAGAAGGGAACACAAUCAAUGCAAUGCACAAUAUGAUGCAUGAUCAUGACAUGGCAAUAUGAAUGUGUUUUGAGCUAAUGAAACUAGCAACAGAUUAAAUGAAGUUGGUUUGAAUACAAGAUUCAAAUUCAAACUCCAUAUGUGAUUAUUCAAAUGCCAUUUAAUUGAUUUGUGCUAAACAGCAGCUAUAAGUUGUUCUAACAUGCAUGAAAAUGGUACAGAUGGAUUCCUUGAAUUUUUCUGAUAAUUUUUCAUAUAUAAUUUAUUUAAUUUGGAGCUACGGUUGAAUUUCUAUGAAUUUUAGAAGUUUUAGGCAUUUUCUGGAAUUAUAAAUCAUUUCCUAAUUUAUUUUAAUUCCAGAAAGGAAUUAUUGCGUCAGCAUGACCUCAUGCUGACCUCAGCAGGUCAACGGGCACCGUCCAGGUCAAACUGACCUGUGGGACCCAUAUGUCAGCGUCACAGUUAGUUAACAGGGGGUUAUCUGCUUAAUUAAAGGAUUAGGGGGGGGGGUCGGGGCCCACUGGUCAGUGUUAGUGGCUAAUUAGGUUUAGUUAAUGGCCUGGGGCCCACACGUCAGUGAGAGAGAGGGGAGGGUCAAACCGGGCAGUGGGUCAACCCACGCCGGUCAAGGGUCAACGGUCGCCGGCGUUUAGCCGCCGGCGAGUCCCGACGCGGUGGUGCCCUGCGGAAAUGGCCUACAGAGCGCCGUUUGGCGCGCGGAGCACGACUACGGGAUGCGGACGCUCGUCCGCAUCCAACCAGGGUGGUGGCGCGGCCGGGGAGUGGCCGGAGAGUGGUCGGCAACGAGCUUUAGCGGCGGCCGGGGUUCGGCGUCAGUGAGGACGGCGCUGCGGUGUGCAAACGAGACGGUUGUCGCGCUAGUUUUACUCUACGGGACGUAACGAGUGCAACGGACGCAUGCGUGGGACCAAAAGGUCACCGGGGCUUCACCGGCGACGAGCCCGUGCGGCGGAGCGUCUCGGCUCCGGUGGAGGGAGCGGCUGGAGCUCGAAAUCGGACAUGGGGUUAGGGGGAAACGAAGGCGGGGCUUACAGGGGGUCGAUUGGAGGGCCCAGCGGCUCGGGGGAGACGUCGGAGGUGGCGAGCGGGCGCCGGCGAUCUCGGGCGGCCGGAGAUGGGGAAGACGGCGUGGGCGGCGAUGCAGGGCUCCCGGCGUUGCGUAGCUCCAUGGAGAGGUCGGGGGCGUCGAGGCGGAGCCUUUGGUCACUCUGGUGGGGUGGAACGACGGUGGUGGCUACGACUGCGACGAGCGGCGGCGAUGGUGGUUCUCGGUCGCGCGAGUGAGAGAGCCAGAGAAGAGAGAAGAAGGAACGGGGAGAGUGAGAACGGUCCAGGGGGGUGCGUGGCAUCCUCAGGCGACGGGGAGACAGGCAGAGAGGCAGGAGGUGGCCUGGGCGUGUGCCCGCACGCUCCGGCCACGCGCCUGCGCCUACUGGCGCGAGGAGGAAGGCGACAGGGGGGGAAAGUGGAGAUGGGCUGGGCUGGCCAGGUGGGCCUGGUGGGCUGCAGAGGUAAGUCCAGGUAAGGUUUCUCUCCUCUGUCUUUUAUUUCUAUUUCAGUUCUGUUUUCUUUUAUUUAAUCUGUUUUGCCACUGUUUUGAAUUUAAAAAUAAUUCAGACAAUGCCAAAAACUCCUCUGAAUAUUUUAUAUUGCUAGAUGGACUUUUCCAAAAGCUUAUAAAAUAUUUCAGGGGUAUUUGAAAUUAUAUUCUAAUUAUAUGAAUAUAAUUCAAAUUCAAAUAGCUAAUGAAUUAAAUCCAAAUUCCCAAAAAUAAUUCCUUAAAAAUGUUCAAUAUUUUGGUUGGGUCCAGAACCCUUACCAAAAAUUAUCAAACAUUUAAGAAGAGCAUUUUGGAGCAGAGAAUGAGAUUUCUAGGGUUUUUGCCCCUCUUUUAUUUAAGUUUUUGAGGCUUCCAAAAAUUCCUCAGUUCAAGUUUCGAAAAUAUAGACAUGAUGCACACAUGAAGCUAGCCUAGAGCACUACCAGCAGCUAGGGAUGUGACAAUGCCAUAUUUUUAUUUUAUUAUAUAUAUACUCGCCGUAUCCCCGAAUGGCUGUUUUGGGAAAAUGCCGUAUCCCGUAUCCCCGUAUGCGUAUCCCUGUCUUUCCGUCCCCGUGUCCGUGCUUCUUAGCCUUCUACUAUAAUUAUGUUCCCUACCCUUUCUUACUUAUAGGAAAUUCAAGUGGGUACACAUGUGAGUAUCUUCUCCUUCCCUCUGUUGUAUGCAUGUGGUCAUUUGUUAUCGCUGAUUAAGAAUCAAGAUCCGUUACUUUCUUGAAUAUUGAAGACUGUCUUAGUUGGUCCAGAUUAAACUUGACAAAUACAAUUUCCUUUUGGUUCCAUCUGACAAUUUAGUUGUAUUAUUGAUUUGAGCAGUUUUCAGCAAUCUUAAGCCGUCUUCAGAUUUUAGCUCACUCAAUCAUUCUGAAUUAUUUAACCUCAGUAUGAGGUACAUGUGUUUCAAAGAUUAAUCCUGAGAAAUUUGUAGUUGACCGGUUGGGUCUGUUUGAUUUCUUUAGUAGACUGCAGCGGCAGUCACCAUUGUUCAUGAUCUAUCCUAAAGCUAGAUUAUUUGCACUGCAAUUCUUUGUUACUUCAAUCAAAUAGUUCAGCCGUGUCUUAUUGAUUUGGACGGUUCUUAUUUUAGCCUGCUCGGUCUCUGGAUUAUUUACUGUCAAUUUUGAUGCAUGUCUUUAAUAAAAUAAGAAACUUAUUUUGGUAGCUAAAUUAAACACUAAACGCUACUUGCUCAUGGCGGCUAUGUGUAGAAACACGAUCACGGUGGAGGAGAUCUCGACGGUCGAUGUGAAGCUGGGGCACAAGAAGGGCACGAAUAUCACCUUCCUAGAAGAAUCUGAUUUUUCUGGUACUGUUAUGUGUUUCAAAAAGUUAUUGGGAUGUAAUUUUUAUAUUGACACUAUAAUCUAUGAAGUUAUAUUUUCAGACAUUUCACUUUUUGCAUCAGCCGAGAGGCAAAAUUUAUUUUCAAGUAAUUUCUGAAGUAAAAUUUGUGAAUGAACUGCAUGAUGUUUCAUGUGUCUGAUUUGUACUUGAAAUAAAAUAUUAGAUAGCAAGGUCCAGAGGAAAUGUGAGAAAGUUGUCCAAAAACUGAAGAAACUUUUUUAUUUUUCUU